UACGAAGGGUGCAAACGUUGCUCGGAAUCAUUGGGCGUAAAGCGCACGUAGGCGGCUUGCCAAGUCGGACGUGAAAUCCCUCAGCUCAACUGAGGACGUGCAUCCGAAACUGGCGAGCUUGAGUACUGAAGAGGAUCGCGGAAUUCCCGGUGUAGAGGUGAAAUUCGUAGAUAUCGGGAGGAACACCAGUGGCGAAGGCGGCGAUCUGGGCAGAUACUGACGCUGAGGUGCGAAAGCAUGGGGAGCGAACAGG
rnacentral:rRNA from 1 species